rfam:Triticum aestivum genome assembly, contig: Triticum_aestivum_CS42_TGACv1_scaffold_374092_5AL
AUACUACUCCCUUCAUCUAGAAUUACUUGUCGUACAAAUGGAUAAAAAUCGAUGUAUGUAAGACUAAAAUACCAUCUAGAUAAAUCCAUUUCCGCAACAAGUAAUUUUGGACGGAGGGAGUAUCUC